UAAGACCCCUUGAAGACGACGAGGUUGAUAGGCCUGAGGUGGAAGUGCAGCAAUGUAUGGAGCUGACAGGUACUAAUCGGUCGAGGGCUUAUCCAAAAAC
rnacentral:rRNA from 1 species